AAAUGAAUCAAAACUUUCAACAACGGAUCUCUUGGUUCUGGCAUCGAUGAAGAACGCAGCGAAAUGCGAUAAGUAAUGUGAAUUGCAGAAUUCAGUGAAUCAUCGAAUCUUUGAACGCACAUUGCGCCCGCCAGUAUUCUGGCGGGCAUGCCUGUCCG
rnacentral:rRNA from 5 species